GUAUGCAAUCUACCUUUCACAGAGGGAUAGCCCAGAGAAAUUUGGAUUAAUACCUCAUAGUAUAGUACCUUGGCAUCAAGGAACUAUUAAAGAUUUAUCGGUGAAAGAUGAGCAUGCGUCCCAUUAGCUAGAUGGUAAGGUAACGGCUUACCAUGGCUACGAUGGGUAGGGGUCCUGAGAGGGAGAUCCCCCACACUGGUACUGAGACACGGACCAGACUCCUACGGGAGGCAGCAGUGAGGAAUAUUGGUCAAUGGGCGCAAGCCUGAUCCAGCCAUGCCGCGUGCAGGAAGAAGGUCCUAUGGAUUGUAAACUGCUUUUAUACAGGAAGAAACACCUCUACGUGUAGAGACUUGACGGUACUGUAUGAAUAAGGACCGGCUAACUCCGUGCCAGCAGCCGCGGUAAUACGGAGGGUCCAAGCGUUAUCCGGAAUCAUUGGGUUUAAAGGGUCCGUAGGCGGCCAAAUAAGUCAGUGGUGAAAGCCCAUCGCUCAACGAUGGAACGGCCAUUGAUACUGUUUGGCUUGAAUUAUUAGGAAGUAACUAGAAUAUGUAGUGUAGCGGUGAAAUGCUUAGAGAUUACAUGGAAUACCAAUUG
rnacentral:rRNA from 1 species